UAAGACAUCAUUCUCUUCUUUUAGGCGGAGGAUCCAGAUGCAGAUGACGUGAAAGAAGUAACAGAAAAUGAAAAAGUAGCCGGGUCUUGUUUAUCUGAGCCACUUAACGAAGAUCAGCACCAGAGCCCCGAGACGAUCCCCGAAGAAGAGCAAGCUGCCGCGGCCGGAGGGGAAGACAAUGUGUCCGACACCGGAGACAAGUCCGAGCAGGCCGCCUCUGGAGACGUGGAGACCGUCCGGGAUGUUGUGGAGACCGUCCGGGAUGUUGUCGAGACCGUCCGGGAUGUUGUCGAGACCAUCCGGGAUGUUGUCGAGACGGACGCCUUAGAGGUUGGGGACACACAGAAAGCCCCAGAAGAGACAUUUGACUCUGAAAACAAAAGCACGCAGGCUGUUAGUGAUAGCGUACAGGGCACUGUGGGAGAAACUGUUGAUACAGAAAUGGGGGCUAAGGAGGGUGAGGAGGAGGAUGAGAAGACAGAAGAGAAAGCUGCCGCGGAUUCAGCGUCCACAGUGAAAGAGUCCUCUUCUGUAGAGGGUGAUGAUCCGAAAAAGAGCUCUGAGGAGAAAGAUGCCAAGACUGAGACAAAAGAUGAGACAGG